rnacentral:lncRNA from 1 species
AACGCACUCCUGUGGAUCCCCUCCUUUGGGCCUAGAGCAAUUUUCUAGCUAUUCCCCCAAUUUUCAGUUUGUUUUUGUCUUUUUAUUUUUUAUUUUUUAUUUUUUAUUUUUUAUUUUUUAUUGCUUUAUUUUUUUGUUUUUUCUUUUCUUUUAUUUAGGUUUUUAAUUCUUUUACUUCUUUUAUUGUUCCUUUUCUCUUUUUUUAUUGUUUUAUUUUUU